rnacentral:lncRNA from 1 species
UUUAUCUACAAGCCAGCACGGCGCCCUGCAAUUGUUUCUGCUUAAAUCCCUACUCCAGAUUAGGUCUGCUCACCAUUGUCUCUCUUUCUAAUUUUACUCAUACACACCGAGGAAAUUUCAACAAAAUUCUGAAAUCACCGCAAACAGAUUUGUUGAAAGAGAGGGAGAGAGGCGCUACUGAAUUUGCAUGUAAGGUUUGUUAGCUGAUACAUUUUUGUGUUCUUCUUCUAACCUUUUAUUUUAGUUUGAUUUUGUUUCUUCCGAUCAAUUGAUGACGAAGUUUUGCAUAGAAAUGCGUUUUUUUGGUCUGAACAUUUAGGUUAUAGUUCAAUGUUCCAGUUUGUUUGUAUCAGCUCAUAAAUCGGAUGUACAUUUUAUGUUGUAUGCUUAUUCUCAAAUUCAAUGCUCAAUUGAAGCUUAUUACUAAUUUCGUAUGAGUUUGUGAUGGACUAUUUGCUGUAAAUAGCUUAAUUGUGUCACUGUUUUGUACAAUUCAUGUGUGUAUAUAGAGAGAAAUAAUGUGUUUUGGCUGAAACCGUGAGCAUCUGUUUUAUAAAUAGAUAUAUAUUGAGUUUUUAAUCCACCAAUACAAACAAGAAAUGAUCAAUAGAAACUGAUUAUACAGUUUGUGUAUAUCUUAAUAUGGAUUAAAGCUGGAUUUACUGUUCUACAUUUCAUAUCAUUUGAAGGUUUCAUGUCCAUUCCCCUGUUGACCGAGGCAGGCGUAAUAGAAGAUCGAAAUUAGUGACUGUUGUUUGAAAGCCUAAUGAUGAAAUUCACUCAAGAGUUUCAUUGUUCUACCUUAAAUGUAAGUCUUAAUCCUAUAUUCAACUUAUAAAAAGGAUGAGAGGGGAAUCCCUCUUAUCAGAUUGUUCCAUCAUUUUUCUGGUCCUGAUAUUCGAGGUGAUUUCAGCCACUCACCUAAUCAAAUCUUCCAACAACUAGAAAGGGAUUCUGGAUUUUCCAUUCACUAUAUCCAACUGAUUUUGUAAUGUGCACUAUUUGUAUUCAUUUUUAUAAAAAUAUAAACUAAAAAGGUAAUCGUCAAUUACAGUUAUGAGGAACCAUUUUACGAAUUUUGUCUGGAAAAAUAUCAAAAGAUAGUCUUUAAAAUAUAACAUACGUGCAGAUUAUGUAGAAUAGUUAUAUCUAGGUGAGAAAGCAUGUGGCUCAUACCCUUCUUAAUGGUUUUGCGGAAUUUGUUUUGGAAGGAUCAUCAUUGUGAUUCAAUUUCUUUGUGAACUAAUGUAAUGUGUAGCAUGUGACGAAAAACGGUAAUGUGUAGCAUGUGUGACUGCCCUAGUUCUUCUUUGGAAGUUGUUUUGUUCGCAAUCUGUAAUUAAUUAAGACACAAAUGGCAUUAAACAUCUGUUGAAUGAGCCUCGAGAAAAUAUAUGUAUUAAACAUGUGAUAUAUAUAUCUGUUACAGUUUCCUUUAUGAGUAAUUUCUAACAUGUCACAAUUUGUUGUAAUUAUUGUAAUCAAUUGAAAAAUAAUGACUGAAUUGUUAUUUGUGGAACUAUAUUGAUGUUUUUUGUGAUAAUUGGUUUGUAGUCUUUUUCUCAAAUCUCGAUGCUAUUAAUUAUAUCAUGUAUGCAUAACAGAAUUUUCUAAUAUGUCCUAAGUUCGAUGGGAAAUUAUUUGAAAUGAUAUUGACUUUUUCCCCAUUGAUAUCACACUCUAUUUACACACACGUACACACAUAUCCCUUGAGUCAGCAUCAAUGUCAAUUGGCUAGUAAUUGGAAAGAGGAUUAAUAUUUCUUGUUAUAUGAGAAGGCAUGGUGACAGAAUUCAUAAUUUGAAAGCUAUAAAGCUGAUGUAUAAAUGUGAUUAGUAGUGAUUUAACAAAAAUUAUGGUGUCAAAACUUACUACACAAAGUUAUAUGUUUCCAUGUUUAGCAUGUCCCAUUUGUAUGGACACUCAGCUUGUUGUUUUUCACCAUAGUUUUAAAUGGCAAUGCCUAGAAUUUAAGGGUUUUCAUCUAUCUUCUGUUGCCACUGUAUACUUCUACAGAGUGGAAUCAUAUUCCGUGCAUAGUUGUGAUCAUUUUUUUCUGCUCAUGUGAAAGAUACAUACAUAUGUAAUAUGUAUAAAGCAUUCCAAGUUCAAUGAUUUAUCUGUUUUAAUUCAUGUAGAAAUUUCCUAUUAUUUCCCCCCCCUGAAGGUAUCUUAUUAAUUAUUAUAUAUUUGAUUGUUCUAUUCAAACUUUUUUUAUUAAAUAAAUUCACACCUAAGAAUUUGAGGACCAAAUAUGAGUUUUGUGGUUGUAGAACAACUAAUUGGUAAGAAUCAAGAUUAAUGAAUUUUAAAAGUCUAGUUAUGCUUCACAGAGUCGUUUGAUGUAUACACUUUUUCAACUUUUUUUGUGUUUCAGGAUUAAUGCUGUAAUUUCUAGAAGGAGGGAUCUACAGUGUUGGGGCUCAGCUGAUGAUCAGUUUUAUAGGGGUUUUAUCUUGAGCUGUCUUCAUAUUUGAGUUCAUUAUUGUAGCGAAUGAACAAUUAAGAUUGAAAUAACUGUCUGUAUUUCUGUAUAAUAUGCAACAUCCUAGUUGUAGAGUAUAUUGAUUUCAACAACUUUGGCAGCUUGAUGAUCUGAAUUUAAUUGAGACUUGUUCAAUUAAUCUCCUUCUCUUUUCAUUUUUGGUCACUAAAUAUAUUAUUGUUUGCUUGGGGGGUUUGUACAUUUCAUGUAUUGGUUAUAAGCUGCAAAAGGAGAAAUAAUACUUUAUCUGAUUUCGUUGCCGGAAAUCUUGACAAUCUUCUUUUUUGAAG